rnacentral:rRNA from 1 species
AACGAACGCUGGCGGCAUGCCUAACACAUGCAAGUCGAACGAGAUCUUCGGGUCUAGUGGCGCACGGGUGCGUAACGCGUGGGAAUCUGCCCCGAAGACCGGGACAACCCGAGGAAACUCGGGCUAAUACCGGAUGUGGUCACUCUUCAUAAGGAGAGUGAGCAAAGGAAGCUUCGGCCUCCGCUUCGGGAUGGGCCCGCGGCCCAUUAGCUUGUUGGUGAGGUAACGGCUCACCAAGGCUUCGAUGGGUAGCUGGUCUGAGAGGACGAUCAGCCAAACGGGGACUGAGACACGGCCCAGCCUCCUACGGGAGGCAGUAGUGGGGAACCUUGCGCAAUGGGCGACAGCCUGACGCAGCAACGCCGCGUGAGGGAAGAAGGCUUUCGGGUCGUAAACCUCUUUCAGGAGGGACGAAGCUUCGGGAGUGAAUAGCUUUCCGGAGUGACGGUACUUCCACAAGAAGCCCCGGCUAACUACGUGCCAGCAGCCGCGGUAA